AUUGAACGCUGGCGGCAUGCCUUACACAUGCAAGUCGAACGGCAGCACGGGGGCAACCCUGGUGGCGAGUGGCGAACGGGUGAGUAACAUAUCGGAACAUACCCUAGAGUGGGGGAUAACGUAGCGAAAGUUACGCUAAUACCGCAUACGAUCUAAGGAUGAAAGUGGGGGAUCUUCGGACCUCAUGCUCAUGGAGUGGCCGAUAUCUGAUUAGCUAGUUGGUGAGGUAAAGGCUCACCAAGGCGACGAUCAGUAGCUGGUUUGAGAGAACGACCAGCCACACUGGAACUGAGACACGGUCCAGACUCCUACGGGAAGCAGCAGUGGGGAAUUUUGGACAAUGGGGCAACCCUGAUCCAGCAAU
rnacentral:rRNA from 1 species